rnacentral:rRNA from 1 species
UACGUAGGGUGCAAGCGUUGUCCGGAAUUACUGGGCGUAAAGGGCUCGUAGGCGGCCAACUAAGUCAGACGUGAAAUCCCUCGGCUUAACCGGGGAACUGCAUCUGAUACUGGAUGGCUUGAGUUCGGGAGAGGGAUGCGGAAUUCCAGGUGUAGCGGUGAAAUGCGUAGAUAUCUGGAGGAACACCGGUGGCGAAGGCGGCAUCCUGGACCGACACUGACGCUGAGGAGCGAAAGCCAGGGGAGCAAACGGG